rnacentral:rRNA from 1 species
UACGUAGGUGGCAAGCGUUAUCCGGAAUUACUGGGCGUAAAGGGCUCGUAGGCGGCCAACUAAGUCAGACGUGAAAUCCCUCGGCUUAACCGGGGAACUGCGUCUGAUACUGGAUGGCUGGAGGUUGGGAGAGGGAUGCGGAAUUCCAGGUGUAGCGGUGAAAUGCGUAGAUAUCUGGAGGAACACCGGUGGCGAAGGCGGCAUCCUGGACCAAUUCUGACGCUGAGGAGCGAAAGCCAGGGGAGCAAACGGG